AGUGUCUGAUUUUCAAACAGACAACAAACGGAACGAAAGAGAUCGGAUUCCAAAUACAAAUUAAAAAUAAAAAAUAAAAAAAACCUUCUCUUUUUUAUUGUUAUAUCUUGGAUUGCGUGCAGAAGCAAAACCCACAUAAAUUCCAUUACCCCCAAGAAAAAACAAAAAGUAAAAAAAAAUUAACGUGCAUUUACCAAGCAAAGCGACGAACACUCUUUUCCUUGUUCUUGGUAGGGUUGUGUUCAGAGAGAAAUCAAUAAAUGUGUCCUUCUAUUCAGCUCCAAGGCCGUACCUUUCAUGGUGUUUCUCUCCAGUUGCUUCAUUUUCCUGAGAGCUGCUCUCUACCUACUAAGUUUAAAGACAAUAGUAUUCAUGAUCUCUUCGAGCAUUGGACAUGAAACAUUACUUAUUUUAAGGUAAUGCAGAAUUUAUGAAUUAAUAUAUUUGAGAUUUGGAGUAGGGAAUGAAGCCAUCGGUCCGCCUAGCUUAGGGUAGAUGUACUGUAUUUGACAGUUUCUGUAAAUUGUUAAUGUAUUCUGAGAUUAUUUAGCUGAUUAUUUUUAAUCUCAUUUCACUUUAGUGCCAUUAUCUAUUUAUACUCACUCUCUGCCUCUCUAAAGCAGAGGCAUUGGGAGUUUCAUUAGAUUAUCCUCUCUAAUA